AUAUCCUCCGAAGACGGGAUCCCCGACCCUGAAGCCAGAGAAAGCAGCUCUGGUGCAAAUGUUUCUAUGCUCCCCCUUUCAUCUCCGUCCCUGAAGUUAUCGCAGAUUAGAAGGCGAAAAACCACACUCACAAUGACAUGGUUUCCGAGCUUAUGCAGACCCCCCUCACUGAUAGGGCACAGAUUAAUUCAUGGAGGCAUUCAGUGGCAGAGG